AGUGAACGCUGGCGGUAGGCCUAACACAUGCAAGUCGAACGGCAGCACAGUAAGAGCUUGCUCUUACGGGUGGCGAGUGGCGGACGGGUGAGGAAUACAUCGGAAUCUACUUUUUCGUGGGGGAUAACGUAGGGAAACUUACGCUAAUACCGCAUACGACCUACGGGUGAAAGCAGGGGAUCUUCGGACCUUGCGCGAUUGAAUGAGCCGAUGUCGGAUUAGCUAGUUGGCGGGGUAAAGGCCCACCAAGGCGACGAUCCGUAGCUGGUCUGAGAGGAUGAUCGGCCACACUGGAACUGAGACACGGUCCAGACUCCUACGGGAGGCAGCAGUGGGGAAUAUUGGACAAUGGGCGCAAGCCUGACCCAGCCAUACCGCGUGGGUGAAGAAGGCCUUCGGGUUGUAAAGCCCUUUUAUUGGGAAAGAAAAGCAGCAGGUUAAUACCCCGCUGUUCUGACGGUACCCAAAGAAUAAGCACCGGCUAACUUCGUG
rnacentral:rRNA from 1 species